CAAAAGUUGAUACACCUGACUUUAGGCAUUUACAUUAUGUAGUCGUCUCAUUCCUUCAAACACGUCAAAGGUAGUGGAGGUUUGGGCCCCAGAGGUGCAGCCGACAGCCUUGUGGGACAUGCGCAGCGGAAGGGACGGCAACCGUAAUGGCCCCAAGCACCGGCGUGGACUUCCAGGCGUGUGGCGGCGUGGACUUCCAUCCCCGGAGGUGGCACUUCCAGCCACGGAGGUGGAAAAGAGCUCCAUAGAAUAGGACCGGGCGUGCGUAAAACCCAUGUCCAAGCCCCAUCCACCGUCCCCGGACAGCCACCCGGCCAAGCACCGGCCCCCGACUUUCAUCCACGAGGGUGAAAGAGAGCUCCGUAGAGUAGGACCGGGCGUGCGUAAAAGCCAUGUCCGAGUCUCAACCACCGUCCCUGGACAGCCACCCGGCCGAGCGCCGGCCCCAGACUUCCAUCCACGAAGGUUAAAGAGAGCUCUGUAGAGUAGGACCGGGCGUGCGUAAAAGCCAUAAUAGUUUUUCAAACCUUCUGUGUCACUCCAAAUCAUUAAAUCCUUCAUACUCUUCGUCCUCCGUGUCACUUACAAGCAAAGCCGCUAAUGAUGCCGGUAGUACGUGGGGCCCUUGUCAUCUUCGUCAUCCCGUGAUCAAUCUUUGUCCUUUUUGUAAACAACCGCCGCGCCGCGCUGCUGACAUCACUUGAAAUUCAAAUUACAGUAAUCCCUUGCUACAUCGUGGUUCGUUUAUCGCAGUUUCACUUUUCUUUUUUUAAAUUUUGUAAAAAUUCACGUAUAAGUCGCUCCUCAGUAUAAAUCGCCCCACCCCCCAAAUUAUGAAAAAACCCCGCGAUUUAUAGUCUGAAAAUUACGGUAUUUGAUUAAUAUUUAACCAACUUGGUUUGCAUCAGUGUCAUUGAAAAACACCCCCAAAAGUGUGUGAUGAAGAUGUUAUGCGAUACCUGGCACUUUGUCUGACUGGGCCAAAACCUAAGUGCCAGGUACUGCUCAACUUCAUCAUCAAACAGAUGACAUGUUUUUAAUGACAUUGAUGCAAACCAAUAUAGACAGAAAUAUACAUUUGAUUAGUAUUUAACUCACUUGGUUUGCGUCGGUGUCAUGGAAAAACUUGUCCAAAAGUGUGUGGUGAUGGUACUGUGCAGUACCUGGCACUUAGUUUUUGUCUCAGAUGUCAGCUGUUUGCAUGUGCUCACCUUCCUCCUGGUGGCGCUUGUGUCAUCAUUAGAAGUAAGUGACAUCUCACUUGAGCUCAUCAAACACUUAAGCUGCUUCCAUGCAAGGCCUGUAAUCACUGUUUGUGAGCAACUAAAUUCGUUCCACACAAACAUUGACUGCUCAAAUGUUUUAAACUGCUUUU